GCCAGGCACGGUGGCUCAUGCCUGUAAUCCCAGCACUUUGGGAGGCUGAGGCGGGUGGAUCACCUGAGGUCAGGAGUUCCAGACCAGCCUGGCCAACAGGGUGAAACCCCGUCUCUA
rnacentral:SRP_RNA from 1 species